rnacentral:lncRNA from 1 species
AUGAAAGAGGAUGGUAAUGAUUUGGCGAACCACAACAAGCAAAAUUAAAAAUUAUGUUAAGCCUACCUCACCACUAAUUAACAAAGGAUUUCUUCCCUCGUCUAUCAAGACAGAACCACUUCAUCAACGAUUCCAAAAUGAAAGGGCUUUGGCCUGCUUUCAUGUAUAAUAGUCAGUAGUAACCACACAUAUUCCAAACCAAAAGAAAAAGAAGAAAAUAACUUAGUUUUUCCC